rnacentral:lncRNA from 1 species
GGUGAACUGUGGCUGAUAAAUAUUCAUUCCUAUCAGAGAUGGACUUGGUGCCAACACUUGUUUGCGAGUUUGGGACGGACGGAGGGAAAAAAGGAGGAUAGCCUGAGGCAGAAAGAGAGAGGAGGAUUGCUGUACACAUAUGGAUCUACAGAACUUACAUCUGUUGUCAGCAAACAUCAAGCAGACACAAAGACAAAGAAGGCUACACCUUUCUCUGUCCUCCUCAGCACCCAACAGACAGCCUGGCAGGCGAGCUGGCAGCCGGGCAGAAUGGCAGUAGGCUGGCAGGCUUUAGCCUGGGGCACCAUCUCCUGCAGAGCCAACUCUGACCAGCUGGUCCAGACUAACACCACAGAGCGAGCAUGUACCACCGUAUCAGCGGGGAGCUAGAUGUUAGCUGUGGUCCAGACACCCUCACACCCAGAGCCUGACACCUACAGCAGUACACCUGCACCGGUGGGAUUUAGGUGAGAAGACUCUGUCUGGUCUAUGACUUAACAGGUCGUCACAUCACAUUUCUCCCGGCGUAGCCUGUCACCAUCCCGAUUUAUUUCCAGAGAGCGAAUGAUGGACCCCUGUCCGCUCUCACUUGCUAAUGCCAGAUCUAGGAGCCUGAUCCUCUGUCCAGUUUGGUCCAGUCUACCAUGACGGUUUAGGCUCCAGCAGAGUCCCGAGCGGCUGAGGAAAAUCUGGUGGAGCGUCCUCUUCCAGCACUAUUCAGCUAGUCAGUUAGCUUCGCACCGUUUUGACUGCUCAGCCAUAGCUAUAGACACAUCGGGACACAUUGGAAGUCAGGGAUAAGAGCUUCAAAAUGAUCUAAUUUGGGAAUAUUUGUUUUCAAGCCAAUUACCACCACACACGUAUACAGUUAAUUAACAGUAUUUACUGGUCUAGAAAAACAUUUUCAAAGUAAAACUUCUAAGCAGAUGUGCCAAAACAGGCCCCAAAUGCUCCAUCAAUAAUUAAUUUCCCCCUUGAUACACCUUGAUUGACCUGAUAUUGCUCGAGUCCUCCCCCUCCACCUCCAUCACGCACACCUCCCAACCAUCUCCACGUCUGACAGUUAAAAGGCCUCCACGCACAGAGAAAGAGCAGGCAGCUCAUUGUGUGUUUUAAAGCGCUAACUAGGCCACUUAGCACCCUGUGACGCUGAUCUGAUCCCUGAGGCGCUGAACUUGGCAGCGGGCCCUCCUCCUUUCGCUCCUUCCUUUCCCUUCGCCAUGGGAACCAGGCCAUCCUUAAUGACGCAG